UGUGGUUGCUCAAGAAGCAAACUGCCUGAUUGGCUCUCUCAGGGCAGGAUGAGCCUCUUCUUCGUAUCUCAUUGACUGAUGACAGUGGCAACGAAGGCAAGUCACAGCCCUGACUUUGGAGACCAUUGAUAGAGAAGAAAGAGCCUCAGGGUAGCCAUCAGGAGACGUGGGUUUGAAUGCUGGCUCUGCAUUGUUCUAAGGUGCAUGACCUGGGCAAGUUUCUUCAUCUCUCGGAUUCUCAGGAUGCCAGCUCUCAAGUGGUGACUAUGGAAUGUCACUCAGAACAAACCAGCUAUCCCUCAUGCUAGACUGUAGGACCAGUAAAGAAAAGCAGGCUUUGAAUCUCCUGCAGGGUCAAGCAAUGGACCGUGAAAAUGUUCUCUCAGAGAGUCCUCCCAAUUGCAAAGAUGAAAAGGAAUAACAAAGAAAGAGAUUGAAGAGAAAAUAAUUCAGCUACCUCAAUAUAUCAAAGAAAAGUCUGACAUGACAUGCAAAGUUCCAUACCCUUAGAAACCCUACCUCCCUCACUCCUAACCUUGCUUCUGCAAAGGAUUAAGGGAAGAUUGAGAUAUCUCCUCAUACCUUUUGGGUUGACCUGGCUCUUAAUAAUUCUCUAAAAAACAUUUUUAUGAUUAUUUCCAUUUAAAUUAUUGUAAUAUCAAUAGUUUCUCUUGCUCUCCUUAUUUUGUAUCAGUUACUGUAAGUCUUUUCAUUCUUCUCUGUCUUCAUCACAUUUGUUGAUUUUUAUUGCACAGUAAGAUCUCAUUUGUUCAUAUACCACCAUAUAAUUAGCUAUUUCCCCAAUUCAUCAGAAUCUAUUUUGUUUCUAGUUAUUUGCUACCACAAAAAAGUG
rnacentral:lncRNA from 1 species